ACCCUGCCCUCCUCCUCCUCCUCCUCCUCCAUCACCCAAAUCUCUCCCCCUCUUUCCAAAUUCAUCAUCAUUCCCCCUUCUUAUUCCCUCUCUCUGUCUCUCUCAAAGCUGCAACCCCACGACUCCACGACUCCACGACUCCACAUAAACUCAAACUGGGGGCGUUCUCUGCUUUGCUUCCACUCCAAGGAAAGAGCUCAGCGAUCCAAGCAUGGAUCCUUGCCCCUUCCUCCGCAUCCUCGUCGGCAACCUCUCCCUCAAGCUCCCUCAGCCCUCCUCCUCCUCCCCCUCCUCCGCCGCCCCCUCCUCCUCCUCCUCCUCCACCACCGUCCACCCUUCUUCCUCCUCCUUCUUCUGCAAGGUCAAGCUCGCCAACCUCCCUCCCCAGCACGCCUCCCUGCCUCUGACCUCGCCCCCGACCGCUCCCCGAACCCCACCCCUCCUCCCAGCCCCUCGCCGCCUGCUUCAGCCUCCCCAAGCCCCUCCUCGAGAAGCUCGCCCUCCAGAACCCCACCCUGAGGAUCGAGGUCCACCGGGGCCGCUUCGGGGGCGCCUGCGGGCUGGUCGGCGGCUCGAAGCUGAUCGGGAAGGUGUCCGUGCCGCUGGAUUUGAGGCGGGCCGAGGCGCGGGCGGCGUCGGUCCACAGUGGGUGGGUCGACAUCGGCAGGAAGAGCGGGGAGAAGCUGUACGUGAGCGUGAGGGCGGAGCCCGAUCCGAGGUUCGUGUUCGAGUUCGAGAAGGAGCCCGAGUGCAGCCCCCAGGUGUUCCAGGUCCAGGGGAGCGUGAAGCAGCCGGUCUUCACUUGCAACUUCAGUUUCCGGAACAACGUCGGUGACCGGAGCUUGCGAUCCAGAUCGUCCUUGUCCGAAACAAGCACAUCGCGGAGCUGGAUACCGUCUCUGGUCGGCAGCGACAAGGACUCGCAUUCGAAAGAGAGAAAGGGAUGGUCCGUCACCAUCCACGACCUCUCCGGCUCUCCCGUGGCAGCCGCGUCGAUGGUGACGCCCUUCGUGCCAUCCCCCGGGUCUGACCGGGUCAGCCGGUCCAACCCGGGCGCGUGGCUCAUCAUCCGCCCGGAGCACGGGACUUGGAGGCCGUGGGGCCGCCUCGAGGCCUGGCUGGAGCACGGCAGCUCCGACAUGCUCUCGCACCGAUUCGAGCUCCUUCCCAACACCACCACCGCGACCACGGGCACUGUGGCCAACUCCUCCAUUAGCAUUAAAAACGGGGGCAAAUUCACCAUAGACUUGACCAACAGCGUGUCCCCGAUGAGCAGCCCGAGCAGCAGCAUGGAUUUAGGGGGCGGGUCGUGGUCCGGGUCGGGAUCGGGUUCGGACUUUGUAGGAUUGGGGCUGUGGCCAAAUUCGGUGCCCGGUGGGUUCGUGAUGUCCUCGACCAUGCAAGGGGUGAACAAGGCGAGCAAGCCGCAGGUGGAGGUGGGGGUUCAGCACGUGACGUGCACUGAGGACGCGGCGGCCUUCGUGGCCUUGGCGGCGGCCAUCGACCUGAGCAUGGAUGCUUGCAAAUUGUUCUCCCGGAAGCUGAGGACAGAGCUGAGGCAGCAGAGUCAGGAGUGCGCCAUCUGAUGCAAUAACCCGUCGAAUCUACUCAGGUCGAAAUCUCGACUCGGGAUGGAUGGAGCGCCCCGGGGUCACGGCCGUGUCGUUUUUUACAAUCAAGUCUCACGUGGACCUCUCAUGAUGCGACGAUUGUCGUGGGAGCGGAUGAUCCGUGACGCGGGCAUUUGAUUUUCUGUUCUUUAAUUUUCCUCACCAUGAUUCUUUUGAUUAAGUUUUGUUUUUGGGUCGUUGGAGGAUUAGGAAGUGUACAUAGGAGGAGGGUGAGUAGGGGCGAUCAUUAACUUUUGUUUUUUUGUUGCUGUUUUCUUUUGAUGUACAUCUCGUGAGCUGUGAUCACUACUGGAAUUUGAAUUGGCUUUUGAUGUUUCAUUGGUUGGAUUUUUGA